AGAGAUGGGGUUUCAUCAUGUUGGCUAGGCUGGCCUCGAACUUCUGAUCUCGAGGCCUACCUUGGCCUCCCAAAGUGCUGGGAUUACAGGCAUGAGCCACUGCGCCUGGCCUGUGAUUUUUGUCUUUCUAAAAGAAUGGCUGUGGAUCAUUCUAAGAUAGUCCCCAGGAGUCCCACCCCCCUGAUGUGCAAUACUCAUUAUAAUCUCCUCUCCUUGAGCGUGGGCAAGACCAUGAACCAGAUGGGAUUUCACUCCUGUGAUUAGGUCAUAUUAUAAGGCAUAGAUGAAGGGAUUUUACAGGUAUGACUAAUAUCCCAAAUCAAUAAAAGGGGAGGCCAUCUUGGAUGGGCCUGAAUUAAAGAGGUAAAAUCCCUUAAAAGAGAAACGGCCCUUCCUGAGGUCAGAAAGACUCUCACUAGCCUUAAAGAAGCAAACUGCAGGCUGGGCGCAGUGGCUCACGACUGUAAUCCCAGCACUUCGGGAGGCCAAGGCGGGAGGAUCACCCGAGGUCAGGAGAUCGAGACCAUCCUGGCCAACAUGGUGAAACCCCAUCUCUACUAAAAACACAAAAAUUAGCUGGGCAUGGUGGUGCGUGCCUGUAAUCUCAGUUAUUUGGGAGGCUGAGGCAGGAGAAUCCCUUCAACUCACUCGGGAGGCGGAAGUUGCAGUGAGCCAAGAUCAUGCCACUGUUCUCCAGCCUGGUGACAGAGCUAGACUCCGUCUCAAAAAAAAAAAAAAAAAAAAAAGCAAACUGCCAUGCUGUGAAAUGCCUAUGGACAGGGACUCCUGGUGGUGACUGCCAAGUGGCCUCUGGGACCUGAGGACAGCCUCCAGUGGACAGCCGGGAAGAUGCCAAGGCCCUCCGUACACAGCCGAGGCUAAGUCCCCAGGCAUAAAGGGAAGCACUGGACCAGAUAGAUUCACCGACAUGAGGCACCUGUGCAGCCUUGUGGGCAGCAGCAGCCAAGCAGCCAGUCCUGGCAGGGUCCUGGCCUUGCCCCACACGUUCCAUUCAAAGUUUUGGCAGUGGGGACCGACACCUGCACAACCAAGAUCACUUCCCUGUGGCUUUCGCAAAGCUAGUGUGGCUGCCUUGAGGCUAAAAGGAGGAAAAUAAAGGACAUCUGGCACCAGUAAUUUAUCUUCUCAUCUGCAGGAAGUUGAAACCUGCUUAGUAUUUAUUAUAGCGGCCAUAAACAUGUUCCAAAUUAUAAUUUUACAUUGCCAUUAGUUUUAUUUUGGUGUAAUAUAAAUUAUUGGGUCAUCCACUUCCUUUUGACAUUUAGUAAUUCUCUUUCACAAUAAAACUCCAUUUUCUUUUGCUUCGUGUUCCCUCAGAACCCACUCACAUUAAUUGCAAGAAAAUUUCAGCCAGUGCCACAAUGAGGAUGACUCACAUUGUUAUACACAAGCUCUUAGGACCUUAUAUAGACAAAAUGUUUUGUCUCAGUUUCCAAUGAGAAACUGAAAAUGCAAAAGAGCAGGAAGGCUUUUGAUCUGUGGCUUAAACCCCCAGUCCCCCAGUUCACUAUUGACAUUACAUGGCGUGCUAGAAAGUGCAUCAGUUGGACAGAACUGAGUUUGAACCCUGGCUCUGUUAGAAACCAGCUAUGAACCAGUUACUUAAACUCCCUUAUCUUCAGUUUUCUCAUCAGGAAAAAAAACGGAGUUUUGAAAUCAAAUGAAAUGAUGUGCAUGAAAGUACAGAACAUACGGAAGGUGCUUAAUGAGAUAUUAGUUUCCCUUCUCCUAUGUCAACCACAGGUAGAAUCUCCUUAACUAUGUUGGAAGCUCUAUAAAGGCAAGGACUGUGCCUAUGGUAUGUGCCCAUUAUAUCACCAAUGCUUAGUAUAAUGGCUGACCCGUAGUCAGUAUUCAGUAAAUAUUGGUUAAAUACUUAAUGGUCGUAAUGGUUAAUAUUGAGUGUCAACUUGACUGCAUUGAAGGAUGCGAAGUAUUGUUCCUGGAUGUGUCUGUGAGGGUGUAGCCAAAGGAGAUUAACAUUUGAGUCAGUGAGUUGGGAAAGGCAGACCUGCCCUCAAUCUGAGUGGGCACCAUCUAAUCAGCAGCGAUGGAGGCCAGAAUAAAAGCAGGCAGAAGAACCUGGAAAGAUUAGACUGACUGAGUCUUCUGGACUCCAUCUUUCUCCAUGCUGGAUGCUUCCUGCCUUGGAACAUCGGAUUCCAGUGUUCUUCAGCUUUGGGACUCGGACUGGCUUCCUUACUCCUCAGCUUGCAGAUGGCCUAUUGUAGGACCCCACCUUGUGAUUACGUGAGUCAAUACUCCUUAAUAAACUUCCCUUUAUAAAGACUCAGCCUAGAGUUACUUUUGCAUAGUUUUCAAAAUCCCUUCUUCAAGACAGUCAAUGUUAUUUAUGAUUCUUUGAUAUCCAUAGCCCUUCUACAAAGCGUACUAUGCCUUCUUUAAUAAAGUGGAAUUCUAUGCCCUGUAAUUACUCUGUCUCUUUAUCUGUUGUCAUAUUUCCCAAUCUCUCAGACUCAUUUCUUGCUCAUCCGCUCUUUUUACUCUAUACUCAUUUCCCUUGAGGGUUUGCGAGAUUUAAUAAGCUGUUAUAGUGCCAGAUAUUAUGCUAGCAACAACAAUCCACAGAUAAAAAAGACAGAG
rnacentral:lncRNA from 1 species